rnacentral:other from 1 species
ACACCUCUGCGGUGUUCGAUCACGAAUUGUGAAGUGCGCGGACCCUACAACUAUCUCGCAGGGGGCUGCACUUUCGGCUGCGUGUAUAUCCGGGUGACCGAUUCGUCGGCACCACGGCUCACACAACCCGGAAGCGCGGUUUCCACCUCAAACUGCGGGUCCAGCCAGACAGUUCGAACGGCACAGGCGGAGGUUCU